ensembl:ncRNA C16E9.26 ncRNA
GGAUUUUCUCCUUGACAGCUCAUGCAUGCGCAUUCCGGAGAACCGGACGACUCAAUGCAGUCAACUUUCUUGUGUGCGCCAACCUCACCACGGCGACGUAUACCUCCAGUGGCCCCACAAAGGCUCAACCCACACUUUUUUUCUACCCGGGGCCAACUUACCCUAGCUCUAACUUGUCUCUUUUUUCCUUU